rnacentral:rRNA from 1 species
GUCAUAUGCUUGUCUCAAAGAUUAAGCCAUGCAUGUCUCAGUACAAGCCAAAUUAAGGUGAAACCGCGAAAGGCUCAUUAAAUCAGUUAUGGUUCCUUAGAUCGUACCCACAAUUACUUGGAUAACUGUGGUAAUUCUAGAGCUAAUACAUGCAAACAGAGCUCCGACCGGAGACGGGAGGAGUGCUUUUAUUAGAUCAAAACCAAUCGGUGGCGGGUUCGCGCUCGUCAUCGUACAACUUGGUGACUCUGAAUAACUUUACGCUGAUCGCACGGUCAUCGCACCGGCGACGCAUCUUUCAAAUGUCUGCCUUAUCAACUGUCGAUGGUAGGUUCUGCGCCUACCAUGGUUGUAACGGGUAACGGGGAAUCAGGGUUCGAUUCCGGAGAGGGAGCCUGAGAAACGGCUACCACAUCCAAGGAAGGCAGCAGGCGCGCAAAUUACCCACUCCCGGCACGGGGAGGUAGUGACGAAAAAUAACGAUACGGGACUCAUCCGAGGCCCCGUAAUCGGAAUGAGUACACUCUAAACCCUUUAACGAGGAUCAAUUGGAGGGCAAGUCUGGUGCCAGCAGCCGCGGUAAUUCCAGCUCCAAUAGCGUAUAUUAAAGUUGUUGCGGUUAAAAAGCUCGUAGUCGAAUUUGUGUCUCGCGCCGCCGGUUCAUCGUCCGCGGUGUUAACUGGCGAGUCGCGAGACGUCCUGCCGGUGGGCUUAGCUCGCGAGGGCGGCCCAACUCAAUCCUGCCGCGGUGCUCUUCAUUGAGUGUCGAGGUGGGCCGGCACGUUUACUUUGAACAAAUUAGAGUGCUUAAAGCAGGCUAAAACUUCGCCUGAAUACUGUGUGCAUGGAAUAAUGGAAUAGGACCUCGGUUCUAUUUUGUUGGUUUUCGGAACCCCGAGGUAAUGAUUAAUAGGAACGGAUGGGGGCAUUCGUAUUGCGACGUUAGAGGUGAAAUUCUUGGAUCGUCGC